rnacentral:rRNA from 1 species
UACGUAGGGGGCAAGCGUUGUCCGGAUUUAUUGGGCGUAAAGAGCGUGUAGGCGGCCAGAUAGGUCUGUUGUGAAAACUCGAGGCUCAACCUCGGGACGCCGAUGGAAACCAUCUGGCUAGAGUCCGGAAGAGGAGAGUGGAAUUCCUGGUGUAGCGGUGAAAUGCGCAGAUAUCAGGAAGAACACCCGUGGCUAAGGCGGCUCUCUAGUACGGUACUGACGCUGAGACGCGAAAGCGUGGGGAGCAAACAGG